AUAGAUGUUCAGCAGGCAGACCAUUUCUUCUGCCACCGAAUACAUUAGCAUGGGAUAAUGGAAUAGGACCCUGUCCUCCUAUUUUGCGUGUUGGUUUUCGAGGACCGGGUAAUGAUUAAUAGGGAUAGUUGGGGGCAUUAAUAUUUAAUUGUCAGAGGUGAAAUUCUUGGAUUUAUGAAAGAUUGACUUCUGCGAAAGCAUCUGCCAAGGAUGUUUUCAUUAAUCAAGAACGAAAGUUAGGGGAUCGAAGACGAUCAGAUACCGUCGUAGUCUUAACCAUAAACGAUGCCGACCAGCGAUUAGGAGACGUUGAAUACAAAACACCACCGUCGGGUCGGCCGUCCUUGGCCGUCGUGCGCGGCGACGCGCGCGGCGGCGAGGGCGGUCUGCCGAGGACCCGGUGA
rnacentral:rRNA from 1 species